UACAGAGGGGGCAAGCGUUGUUCGGAAUUACUGGGCGUAAAGGGCGCGUAGGCGGCCCGCUAAGUCGAACGUGAAAUCCCCGAGCUCAACCGUGGAAGUGCAUUCGAAACUGCAGGGCUAGAGUCCUGGAGAGGAAGGUGGAAUGCUUGGUGUAGAGGUGAAAUUCGUAGAUAUCAAGCGGAACACCGGUGGCGAAGGCGGCCUUCUGGACAGUGACUGACGCUGAGACGCGAAAGCGUGGGGAGCAAACAGG
rnacentral:rRNA from 1 species